AGUGAACGCUGGCGGUAGGCCUAACACAUGCAAGUCGAACGGCAGCACAGUAAGAGCUUGCUCUUACGGGUGGCGAGUGGCGGACGGGUGAGGAUUACAUCGGAAUCUACUUUUUCGUGGGGGAUAACGUAGGGAAACUUACGCUAAUACCGCAUACGACCUACGGGUGGAAGCAGGGGAUCUUCGGACCUUGCGCGAUUGAAUGAGCCGAUGUCGGAUUAGCUAGUUGGCGGGGUAAAGGCCCACCAAGGCGACGAUCCGUAGCUGGUCUGAGAGGAUGAUCAGCCACACUGGAACUGAGACACGGUCCAGACUCCUACGGGAGGCAGCAGUGGGGAAUAUUGGACAAUGGGCGCAAGCCUGAUCCAGCCAUACCGCGUGGGUGAAGAAGGCCUUCGGGUUGUAAAGCCCUUUUGUUGGGAAAGAAAAGCAGCAGGUUAAUACCCCGCUGUUCUGACGGUACCCAAAGAAUAAGCACCGGCUAACUUCGUG
rnacentral:rRNA from 1 species